UACGUAGGGGGCAAGCGUUGUCCGGAAUCAUUGGGCGUAAAGAGCGCGUAGGCGGUCCGUUAAGUCGGCUGUGAAAGUCCAAGGCUCAACCUUGGGAUGCCGGUCGAUACUGCCGGACUAGAGUUCGGAAGAGGCGAGUGGAAUUCCCGGUGUAGCGGUGAAAUGCGCAGAUAUCGGGAGGAACACCAGUGGCGAAGGCGACUACCUGGCAUGUUCUUGACGCUGAGGCGCGAAAGCUAGGGGAGCAAACGGG
rnacentral:rRNA from 1 species